GGAAUAUUGCUACUUUUAAGGCAAUAUUGACAAACUAUGAAUUUAAGGUCGUGUAAAUCAUAUACCAAAAAAACCUGUUCUUGAAAACAUACAAUAUAUGCAUAUCAUGAUGCAUGGAAUGGGACUGUAUAUCAAAGCUUAAGCAACAUGACUCCGUUUUCUCAUUAAUAAAAAUAAAAAAAAUUAAUAAUCAGUCUAUUCAACAUCAAUUGAACCAAAAAGCAUCUGGAAUAAAGAGAAAAUAGAUAUUUCUAAACAUUAGAGAACUUUUUUAAAUAGAAAAUUAACAACCCCAACACCCCCCCU
rnacentral:misc_RNA from 1 species